AGGAAAAAUCGCCGCCCAAUGCAGGUAGCCUAGCUCGUUUUUCAAUUUAUAUAAACAAAGUUCCCUCAAAUUGCAAGUUGGAACAAAGACUUCCCAACAACAGCUUCUUUUUGGGGGUUCUUUUCUUGAGCAUUUGUUUUGUCUGCCUUCUCCACUACAAAGAAAUCACUGAGAGCUGCCCUUUAUUGUUGUUAAUUUAUGGGGAUCUACUAGUAAAGCAGUUUUAAAGAUUGGUGCAAACAUACUGUAAAAAAAGCUUGUUUGUGUAUGAUUUGAUCAAUAGCAUCCCUAUUAUUGGGUGUUUGAUAGAGAGAGAUUAUAUGAUUAUUAGAAAUCCUUUGAUGACCGAUUUUCUGGCUUACUGAUGCUAUGUUUCUUUCUUAGAUCAACUACUGAUUGUCUUCUUUCUGCAUGUAAAUUUGAAGGGAAUGAGAUCUUUAAAUACCUCACUAAGCUUUGAAGACUAAUAUAUUUUUUGGGAAACUGGGUGUAGCUGAUUCUUUUAGAGAUGGCAAAUAAUGGAAUAUGCUUGUGUUAUUGGCAUAUAAUCUGAUAAAUAAUGGCAUUGAGCCAUGUGCCAUGUGGUUUAUAUGUGAUAAUUCAGAGAAGGUUACAAAUCUGUUGUACCCCACCUCUCCUUGGGGGUCCGCUCUUUUUACGGCCUAUUGGAUGUUAAUUUGAACAUAGAAUGGAUCUAAUGAUAGUUUUUGGCUGUCUUCUUGCACUAUAGGAAUUACAAAUCUGUUUUACUCCAUCCCCCCUUGGGGAUCCCCUCUUUUUACAGCCUAUUGGAUGUUAAUUUGAACAUAGAAUGGAUCUAAUGAUAGUUUUUGGCUGUCUUCUUGCACUAUAGGAAUUACAAAUCUGUUUUACUCCAUCCCCCCUUGGGGAUCCCCUCUUUUUACA
rnacentral:misc_RNA from 1 species